rnacentral:rRNA from 1 species
CAUGGAGGGAGACUCUGAUCCAGCCAUGCCGCGUGCAGUGAAGAAUGCCCUAUGGGUAGUAAACUGCUUUUAUACGGGAAGAAAAAGAGCUACGUGUAGCUUACUGACGGUACCGUAAGAAUAAGGACCGGCUAACUCCGUGCCAGCAGCCGCGGUAAUACGGAGGGUCCGAGCGUUAUCCGGAAUUAUUGGGUUUAAAGGGUCCGUAGGCGGGCCGAUAAGUCAGGGGUGAAAGUCUGCCGCUCAACGGUAGAACUGCCUUUGAUACUGUCGGUCUUGAGUUAUAGUGAAGUUGCCGGAAU